UAUUUUAACAAUAAAUACAAUAAUAUAUAUUAUAAUAAAAUUCAUAUUAAGUAAUGUAAUGUAAUUUCACCUACUUAUUUAUAAUUUUACAUCAUAGGCGGAGGAUAUCACUAUACUGUAGGGGGACCCGAUCACACAUUCGAUAGGACGUCGCAACCGCAUAUGUUGUCUCCGUCUUAUACAUGUACGACAUAGCAAAUUUGAAACUCAGCAGACCUCGUUUACCUCCGUUGGUUUAAAAAUUAGAGUAAAUUGACCUCUUAUACAAUUUAAAGGUAAGAUUAUUAUCUACGGCAUCUCAUAGAAUUUUUAUUAUAUUUUAUUUUAAGGCAAGUUAUGAGUACCUAUUUAAAAAUAGUAAAUUGUUUGUACAUCUUAAAAUACGUAUAACUCGAUUUAAAAUAAAAAUAAAACAAAAAACUUCUGAGAUGCCCUGGAUAAUAAUCGUACCUUAGAUUUUAUAAGAGCUGGUCAAUUCACUCUAAUUUUUAAAUUAUUAACCUGAUCUGCUGGUCGCUGAAGCGUCAAAUUUGGUAUGUCGUACGUGUGGAAGACAAUGACAACAUAAUAUGCGGACGACCUCUUAACCGCGGUUUUGUAUAAUUUACAAGUACCUAUUUACGACCCCUAAAUUUUCGGCCUGCACGGGGAUACCUAUAAUAUUCAAUACCCUUUAUAUUUUGAAGCUAUUUUACACAGUGAUAUAAUAUUAUAAUAAUUAUAAAUUAUUUAUGUUUCUAGGUUUCUCUCUGCUGCAUUUAUAAAUCCAACACAAACUUAUAUUGAUCCAUCACAUCAUCCAGUCCGGCACGAGCUGAGAAUAAAAUACACGUAUGACGCAUUCGCGGUGUAUUGAAAUACAACGAAACGAAAAUCAUAGAAGACGAAGUGAAGAAGUUUCUAUUUUUUGAAUCCAUGCGCCGAGAUAUAAUGGGAACUGGGAAGAACUCGUCGGUUUCGACCAAAACUCAAAAGCGCAU